rnacentral:tRNA from 1 species
GGCGGUAAUACAGCGGUAGAAUGUCUGCUUGCCAAGCAGAAUGUCACGGGUUCAAGUCCCGUCCGCCGCU